rnacentral:rRNA from 1 species
UUCUUUGGAGAGUUUGAUCCUGGCUCAGGACGAACGCUGGCGGCGUGCCUAAUACAUGCAAGUCGAGCGGACUGGAUUGGAGCUUGMUCUGAUUAGGUCAGCGGCGGACGGGUGAGUAACACGUGGGC